rnacentral:rRNA from 1 species
UGGGGAAUAUUGGACAAUGGGCGAAAGCCUGAUCCAGCCAUGCCGCGUGUAUGAAGAAGGCCUUCGGGUUGUAAAGUACUUUCAGCGAGGAGGAAGGCGUUGUGGUUAAUAACCGCAGCGAUUGACGUUACUCGCAGAAGAAGCACCGGCUAACUCCGUGCCAGCAGCCGCGGGAAUACGGAGGGUGCAAGCGGUAAUCGGAAUUACUGGGUGUAAAGCGCACGCAGGCGGUCUGUCAAGUCGGAUGUGAAAUCCCCGGGCUCAACCUGGGAACUGCAUCCGAAACUGGCAGGCUAGAGUCUUGUAGAGGGGGGUAGAAUUCCAGGUGUAGCGGUGAAAUGCGUAGAGAUCUGGAGGAAUACCGGUGGCGAAGGCGGCCCCCUGGACAAAGACUGACGCUCAGGUGCGAAAGCGUGGGGAGCAAACA